CAUUGAUGGUGGCAACGUGUAAGUGCCCCUGAGGCCAUUCCUGAAUUGCAGCUAGCAUGGAAGCAGGAAGGUCGUAGGUCUGGCCAAGCCAGAAAUAGCUGAGAACUGGCUCCGGAAAACUGGCAGAAUCAAACCCAAGCUGUGCUCCCCAGUGCUAAUUGGGAAUUCAUCAGGAGAAACAAUGACCAGCCAGAAUAAUUAGGAGAAUGAGCUAAUGGAACCUGCCCACCCCAAGCUUUGUUCAUCCUAGGAUGGCAACCAGUCCUCCCCCAGGCUGGUCCACAGCUGUCUCGAGGGAGGAGGGCUGUGUGGGGGCAGAGGCAGAGUGUGCCUCAUUUCAGCAUGCCUAUCUUUAUCUCCACCAUCAGUUCUCACGAAUGCUGCGCUGAGCUCACCAGACGGGGCAGCCGGGGCCAAUCAUCCAAGGCUUAGGGAGACCUGUGGAUGCUGGCAGCAAGGCAGGGCCAUAAGAUGCAGACUAGAGCCAGGCGUUUCCCGGGCCCCUGCUCCUCAGUGGUGCAGCCACAAGCAGAAUUUUCAGAAGCAUGGAUGGGAUUUCCGACUUCAUCUAGACUUCACAUCCGCUUUGUUCAGAAAAGAAAACUCAGGCCCGGAGACGGAUAGUUAGUGAUUUGCCAAAGGUCGUGUAGACAUCAGUAUUGCUGCCAUCCCAGGAGCCAGACUCAAAUCUCCUUACUGACCUGUCUAUCUCAACACCCUUUAGAAAGAGAGCCACCAACACUGGAGUUGGAGAGGCUAGGGGUUUGUUUGAACAGAGAAGGGAUAGUGUGAGGUCAAGGAUGCAAAUUUCUAAAAUUCUGAGCUGGGUUAAAAGAAAAAUCUUUCUCUACUGUGGUAAUAUCCACAUUGGAACAAGGGACCCUCCUCUCAUCCCUUCAUCACCAGACUAUAUUCAAGUCACGUAUCCCCACCCAGAGGGAAAGGUUAGCUGCAGAUGAAGAAGAUGGAGCACAAACACUAUUAUUGCCUGAUUCACUUUGUGGAAAAUUUUCUAAUCCUGGCCCUGCCAUUUCCUGGCUGCGUGUCCUUGGGGCCCAGGGGACAUUCUGUUCCAGAG
rnacentral:lncRNA from 1 species